rnacentral:tRNA from 1 species
GGGGGAUUUUGGUUGUCGCUGCUAACGAUGAUUGGGGUUUUAUUAGCUCGUCCCUCU